GCGGCCAACCUGGCCCUCCCGGCGCACGGGCUGGUCACCUUUACCUGGGGCAACGUCAGCGCGGUCGAUGAGACGCGCAAGCUGAUGGUCA
rnacentral:tRNA from 1 species